GCUAUCAUUCCCACACUAAUGCACCAGAUCCCAUCAGAACUCCGAAAUUAAGCGUGCUUAGGCGAGAACAAUACUAGGAUGGGUGCCCCCCGGGAAGUCCUCGUGUUGCACCU
rnacentral:rRNA from 1 species